rnacentral:lncRNA from 1 species
UAUUUCUGGAUCAGACCCUGCCGGUUUGAACAGACGCGACAAGAGCGAGAACCCUGGCCGAAUUUUCGCGGGUGGCUCCAGUACAGCUGCUGGUGACCCACCUUGCUCUCAGGAGUGCAAUGAGGAACCUUGACAUUAGUUUCACCUCUCCUCUGGGGCUGAGAGAUGGGAAAGAAGCGUCAAGAACUUGAACAGAAAUCCAGCUCUCAGUACAUUGCACCCAUUUUGCUUGUUUGAGGACCUGGAGAUGAUCCACCACCUAAGGUGGCACUGUGACCAGAGGAAAUUGAUUACCACUCCCCUACAACUACGGAACUGAGCACGUUAGAGAUCCAUCCAGAGCGAUUGCUAGAAGCAAUCC